UACGGGGGGGGGCAAGCGUUGUUCGGAAUUACUGGGCGUAAAGGGCUCGUAGGCGGCUGCUCAAGUCGAAUGUGAAAACUCGAGGCUCAACCUCGAGCCUGCAUUCGAUACUGGGCGGCUAGAGUCUGGUAGGGGGAUCUGGAAUUCCCGGUGUAGCGGUGAAAUGCGCAGAUAUCGGGAGGAACACCGGUGGCGAAGGCGGUUCUCUGGGCCUUACCUGACGCUGAGGAGCGAAAGCGUGGGGAGCGAACAGG
rnacentral:rRNA from 1 species